GCUGUAGUAGUGUAGUGGCAACAUCUGACUACGCCAAAGUCAGGACCAGGGGUUCGAAUCCCCUCUACAGCU
rnacentral:tRNA from 1 species